CCUACGGGAGGCAGCAGUGGGGAAUAUUGGACAAUGGGCGCAAGCCUGAUCCAGCAAUGCCGCGUGGGUGAAGACGGCCUGCGGGUUGUAAAGCCCUUUAGGCGGGGAGGAACGGUAGGGUGCCAAUACCACCCGGCGCUGACGUUACCCGCAGAAUAAGCACCGGCUAACUCCGUGCCAGCAGCCGCGGUAAU
rnacentral:rRNA from 1 species